AAGUCGUAACAAGGUUUCCGUAGGUGAACCUGCGGAAGGAUCAUUCAUAAUUAUAUAGUUGAUUAUGUAUUUGUGCACUGAUGAUGUUUUUGUAUUCUUAUUCUUGUUUGUUAAAAAAAGACAAUACAACUUUCAGCAAUGGAUCUCUUGGCUCUU
rnacentral:misc_RNA from 1 species